rnacentral:lncRNA from 1 species
AAAACCACAAAAUGGGCAAUAUUUAUACACAGGUUGAAUCAAAUUCAAAAUCCACAAUAUUAGGAUGUCAACUCUAGGAAUUUACCUCUUCAUUGUGCAAUUUGUAGCAAUAAUUGCAAUUUAUUGUACUUCCAUUAUAGUUGAAAUAAAGCAUAGAAACUAAUCAGACUUACGAAUGGCUGCCUGACAUCAUCAUAAGAAAGCCCAAGACGUCUUCUUAAAUCUGCUUUAUUUUCUGCUUUGCUUUCAAUAUCAUAAGCAUUAAUUAAAA